rnacentral:rRNA from 1 species
CCAGACUCCUACGGGAGGCAGCAGUGGGGAAUAUUGCACAAUGGGGGAAACCCUGAUGCAGCGACGCCGCGUGAGUGAAGAAGUAAUUCGUUAUGUAAAGCUCUAUCAGCAGGGAAGAAAAUGACGGUACCUGAGUAAGAAGCCCCGGCUAACUACGUGCCAGCAGCCGCGGUAAUACGUAGGGGGCAAGCGUUAUCCGGAUUUACUGGGUGUAAAGGGAGCGCAGGCGGCAUGGCAAGUCUGAUGUGAAAACCCGGGGCCCAACCCCGGGAGUGCAUUGGAAACUGCCAGGCUGGAGUGUCGGAGGGGUAAGCGGAAUUCCUAGUGUAGCGGUGAAAUGCGUAGAUAUUAGGAGGAACACCAGUGGCGAAGGCGGCUUACUGGACGACUACUGACGCUGAGGCUCGAAAGCGUGGGGAGCAAACAGGAUUAGAUACCCCCGUAA